rnacentral:rRNA from 1 species
CUACGGGACGCAGCAGUGGGGAAUAUUGCACAAUGGGCGCAAGCCUGAUGCAGCCAUGCCGCGUGUAUGAAGAAGGCCUUCGGGUUGUAAAGUACUUUCAGCGGGGAGGAAGGGAGUAAAGUUAAUACCUUUGCUCAUUGACGUUACCCGCAGAAGAAGCACCGGCUAACUCCGUGCCAGCAGCCGCGGUAAUACGGAGGGUGCAAGCGUUAAUCGGAAUUACUGGGCGUAAAGCGCACGCAGGCGGUUUGUUAAGUCAGAUGUGAAAUCCCCGGGCUCAACCUGGGAACUGCAUCUGAUACUGGCAAGCUUGAGUCUCGUAGAGGGGGGUAGAAUUCCAGGUGUAGCGGUGAAAUGCGUAGAGAUCUGGAGGAAUACCGGUGGCGAAGGCGGCCCCCUGGACGAAGACUGACGCUCAGGUGCGAAAGCGUGGGGAGCAAACAGGAUUAGAUACCCCGGUAGUC